GAUGAACGCUGGCGGCGUGCUUAACACGUGCAAGUCGAACAAUGAACCGGGUGCUUGCACUCGGGGAUUAGUGGCGAACGGGUGAGUAACACGUGAGCAACCUGCCCCUGACUCUGGGAUAAGCGCUGGAAACGGCGUCUAAUACUGGAUAUGUCCCGUCACCGCAUGGUGUGCGGGUGGAAAGAUUUUUCGGUUGGGGAUGGGCUCGCGGCCUAUCAGGUUGGUGGUGAGGUAAUGGCUCACCAAGGCGUCGACGGGUAGCCGGCCUGAGAGGGUGACCGGCCACACUGGGACUGAGACACGGCCCAGACGCCUACGGGAGGCAGCAGUGGGGAAUAUUGCACAAUGGGCGGAAGCCUGAUGCAGCAACGCCGCGUGAGGGAUGACGGCCUUCGGGUUGUAAACCUCUUUUAGCAGGGAAGAAGCGAGAGUGACGGUACCUGCAGAAAAAGCACCGGCUAACUACGUGCCAGCCGCCGCCGUAA
rnacentral:rRNA from 1 species